rnacentral:rRNA from 1 species
GGCGCGAAACCUCCGCAAUGUGAGAAAUCGCGACGGGGGGAUCCCAAGUGCCAUUCUUAACGGGAUGGCUUUUCUUAAGUGUAAAAAGCUUUUGGAAUAAGAGCUGGGCAAGACCGGUGCCAGCCGCCGCGGUAACACCGGCAGCUCUAGUGGUAGCUGUUUUUAUUGGGCCUAAAGCGUUCGUAGCCGGUUUGAUAAGUCACUGGUGAAAUCCUGUAGCUUAACUGUGGGAAUUGCUGGUGAUACUGUUGAACUUGAGGUCGGGAGAGGUUAGCGGUACUCCCAGGGUAGAGGUGAAAUUCUGUAAUCCUGGGAGGACCACCUGUGGCGAAGGCGGCUAACUGGAACGAACCUGACGGUGAGGGACGAAAGCUAGGGGCGCGAACCGGAUUAGAUACCCGAGUAGUCC